UUAGCCAGAGAUUGAAAGUAACAGCUGUGC
rnacentral:piRNA from 1 species